UCCAUUCCAUUCCACUCCAUUCAGCAGUUUUGUAACCAUGGGUAACAGCAGAGCUGACGUGGCUCUGCACUGCUGCAAGGAGGCUGUCAAGGUUGUCAGCAUUUGAACUGAAAGCAAUGUAGAAGAAGUUCAAGGAUGCCUUUGUAAAAGACUGGUGUAUUGCCAGAGAUACAAGAUCUGGCUUGUUCUAAUGUCUUCUCUCACAGAAAAAUAAAUUAAUUUUGUUCUGAAGUGUGUUGGGAAGGAUGAGGUUCAGAACAGACUCUUCCUUCCUAAAGGAUUGGAGGAGCCACAACCCCUUGGAGGCUUUGAACAUUUGUCACUUUGGAAGUGCAAAGGAGAUAAAUCUGCCUGUGGUCUGUGAGGGGCUGUGGCUGUCCAAGCCCUUCUCCCCACACUGAGACUGGGAACACAAGAAUUGGAAUUGGGGGAUGCAAACACCUUCCCCAUACCAUGAAGUUACAGAUUUAAAGAUUUUUCUUUAAAAUUUUUUCUUUAAAAAAGUUUUAUUGGACUAAAU